rnacentral:rRNA from 2 species
GCCAAAUUAAGGUGAAACCGCGAAAGGCUCAUUAAAUCAGUUAUGGUUCCUUAGAUCGUACCCACACUUACUUGGAUAACUGUGGUAAUUCUAGAGCUAAUACAUGCAAAUAGAGCCCCGACCGGAGACGGAAGGGGCGCUUUUAUUAGAUCAAAACCAAUCGGUGGCGGUUCGCCGUCACCGUACUCCUUGGUGACUCUGAAUAACUUGUUGCUGAUCGCACGGUCUCGAACCGGCGACGCAUCUUUCAAAUGUCUGCCUUAUCAACUGUCGAUGGUAGGUUCUGCGCCUACCAUGGUUGUAACGGGUAACGGGGAAUCAGGGUUCGAUUCCGGAGAGGGAGCCUGAGAAACGGCUACCACAUCCAAGGAAGGCAGCAGGCGCGCAAAUUACCCACUCCCGGCACGGGGAGGUAGUGACGAAAAAUAACGAUACGGGACUCAUCCGAGGCCCCGUAAUCGGAAUGAGUACACUCUAAACCCUUUAACGAGGAUCAAUUGGAGGGCCAGUCUGGUGCCAGCAGCCGCGGUAAUUCCAGCUCCAAUAGCGUAUAUUAAAGUUGUUGCGGUUAAAAAGCUCGUAGUCGAAUCUGUGUCUCGCGCCGCCGGUUCAUCGCUCGCGGUGUUUAACUGGCGUGCUCGCGGGACGUCCUGCCGGUGGGCCUACCUCCUUGGAGCGGCCCCACUACAAAUCCCGUUGCGGUGCUCUUCACCGAGUGUCGCAGCGGGCCGGCACGUUUACUUUGAACAAAUUAGAGUGCUUAAAGCAGGCUAAAACUUCGCCUGAAUACUGUGUGCAUGGAAUAAUGGAAUAGGACCUCGGUUCUAUUUUGUUGGUUUUCGGAACCCCGAGGUAAUGAUUAAUAGGAACGGAUGGGGGCAUUCGUAUUGCGACGUUAGAGGUGAAAUUCUUGGAUCGUCGCAAGACGGACAGAAGCGAAAGCAUUUGCCAAAAACGCUUUCAUUGAUCAAGAACGAAAGUUAGAGGUUCGAAGGCGAUCAGAUACCGCCCUAGUUCUAACCAUAAACGAUGCCAGCUAGCGAUCCGCCGGCGUUCCUCCGAUGACCCGGCGGGCAGCUUCCGGGAAACCAAAGCUUUUGGGUUCCGGGGGAAGUAUGGUUGCAAAGCUGAAACUUAAAGGAAUUGACGGAAGGGCACUACCAGGAGUGGAGCCUGCGGCUUAAUUUGACUCAACACGGGAAAUCUCACCAGGCCAGGACACUGUAAGGAUUGACAGAUUGAGAGCUCUUUCUUGAUUCAGUGGGUGGUGGUGCAUGGCCGUUCGUAGUUGGUGGAGCGAUUUGUCUGGUUAAUUCCGAUAACGAACGAGACUCUAGCCUGUUAACUAUUCAUUCAA